UACGUAGGGUGCGAGCGUUGUCCGGAAUUAUUGGGCGUAAAGAGCUCGUAGGCGGUGUGUCACGUCGGCCGUGAAAACCUGGGGCUUAACCCUGAGCUUGCGGUCGAUACGGGCAUGACUGGAGUUCGGCAGGGGAGACUGGAAUUCCUGGUGUAGCGGUGAAAUGCGCAGAUAUCAGGAGGAACACCAGUGGCGAAGGCGGCUCACUGGCCCGGUACUGACGCUGAGGCGCGAAAGCGUGGGGAGCAAACAGG
rnacentral:rRNA from 1 species